AUGGACAUGGGGCCUCCAGCCAAGUAUCGGGUGCCGCCGCAGCAGCAGGAGGCUUGGCUUGAGACAGUGAGGUCCGAAGGGGACCUUGGCACCCAGAUCUACAAUGGCCAUAGUACUGGUGGCCAUGAUGGCACCAACUUCGGCUUCUUUCCUAGUCAUAUGAAUAUGUUGUAA
rnacentral:rRNA from 1 species